GUGCUCACUUGGGCAGCACAUAUACUAAAAUUGGAAUGAUACAGAGAAGAUUAGCAUGGCCCCUGAGCAAGGAUGACACACAAAUUCAUGAAGCGUUCCAUAUUUUU
ensembl:snRNA U6 U6 spliceosomal RNA